UUUGCUAAGGAAGGUUGAAUUUGUUCAUCUCGAGCAGGAUACCGGUACUGGCUGGAGGUGGGACAUUAGGUGCUGGCUAUGCAACACCGUACAUGACCAUGGAGGGAACACCUUCACCAAUAUAUUUCAACCAGCCAGCCUCCUUCCGUCCAGCUGGAAGAGGGAUAAGCGGUGCAAAGCCAAGUGGUUUGUGGAAACCACCUCCUAAUCAAGAACUAGGUCCUGACGAGUUUGGGCAUCGCCAGAAUAAAGCACGCAGAUAUUCAGAGAUGAGUUUCGGGCAUUGACGAUGUGGAAGAAGACGCUGCACACUGUUUAUGUACUUGGGAAUGUGAUCGUAGAAACGUUCUGUAAUGAUUCAUCACAUUUUACGGUUCCAUGGGCUUGUUCCGGAAUGCUUGCAACAGAUUGCAAGGUCCCAGAUUGAGCUGUGAACUGCAGGAGUUGUGUCCUCUGUAAUAUUGCAGCGAGGACAGCAGAUCUGACAGUAUCGUCGGGGCUACUCGGUGUUGUUUACAAUGGACCGCUAGAUGGGGCUUGUUCACAGAGAGAGAGCGAUUAUUCACUUUGUAUUCACGUCCUGGUGAUAAAGUUAUAAUUCGCUCCUUCCAAAGGGCCUCACUCAAACCGAUUUUCUGCCUAUGGAGUUGCCGAGCUAGAUUUGGUUUACUGCAGUCGCGUCCGAGCUGAUGUUAGCUGCCAACACUCGGAUAUUUGAGUGUUGGUGCGAGGUUGAGCGUUGGUGUGUGGAUUUAUGUUUUUGUACAUGAUGGUGGUCACACAUGAAUCUGAAUUUAUCCACGCAUAUGAUGCUGGCACUGAA